rnacentral:snRNA from 1 species
AGCUUUGUGCAGUGGCAGUAUCAUAGUCAAUGAGGUUUAUCCGAGGCGCAAUUAUUGCUAAUUGAAAACUUUUCCCAAAAUUACAACUAAACUAUAGAACAACCAUCAUUGAG